UGUGUACUGUAAAAUGUUAUUGUAUCCAAAUGUAAUUUGGCAUUCUUGAAUUGUGUGACAUGAUAAUGACUAAAGAAAUGAUGAUAAAUCAGGUUUGGCACCUGUUUGAUAGGUAUAUUCUUAAUGCAUACAGAAGCUAAGCUAAGCUUAAGCAAUUGCUGUCUUGCCUUAGCCCUUUGCAGGACAUCUUGUGUCUAUUCAGAUGGCUGCAAUGAAACAAGAGGCUGCCUCCAAUGUGUCAUUAGGGUAGAGGGGCUUCCCUGAGACUCCCUCAUAUCAUGUAGCAUUGAUGUAUGAUGCUAAAGCUGUUUCCCUGGAGCACAUGGGAACCAGACUUGAGCAAGGAAGGUCAAAGUGAAAUGAAAGCAGCAGUGUGCAUCUCAAACUUUGUUCUCAGCUCUGCAACAGCAGAAGCACUGUGGAGAAAGUGGUGGCUGGCUCUGUCCCAGUUCCUCAGGUGAUCCCACUUGGAAUCCCUCUUCCAAGGAAGGCUAACCAUGAAGUAGACACAAAUUCUCUUCUAGAAUUGCAAUCAGGUCUGAAUAAGAGCUUUGAAUCCAAAUGGCACCAUGUCUUGAAUGCAGACAUCUCCUGCCAGUGAAUACACCCAGUUGCACUGGAUGUGGGUCACCAAUAGAUUCACAGGUGCAUCCCCAAACCAACAUCUGCAUAAAGACACUGGACUUGCUGUUUUGUGUGAGUGCAGUGACUAAGCAAACUGGCACUAGUUUAUAGAAACGUUUGGAGGUAUUGGUGCUG